rnacentral:rRNA from 1 species
UACGGAGGGAGCAAGCGUUACUCGGAAUUAUUGGGCGUAAAGGGCGCGUAGGCGAUUUGAAAAGUCUUGUGUGAAAGCCCCGGGCUUAACUCGGGAAGUGCACAAGAAACUGUUGAAUUUGAGUUCCGGAGAGGAAGGCAGAAUUCCCGGUGUAGCGGUGAAAUGCGUAGAUAUCGGGAGGAAUACCAGUGGCGAAGGCGGCCUUCUGGACGGAUACUGACGCUGAGGCGCGAAAGCCAGGGGAGCAAACGGG